CUAGUAAUGAGUUUUUAAUCCUAAGUUUGUUGCACUGUCAGCUGUCAGUCAGUCACAGACGGACAGUAUGACAUUACACGUCGUAAAUUUCAUAAGUUACAUAAGUUACUUAAAAAGUUUAACAGCAGAGAUCGGAUAGCAAGUCAACUGUUUUAAAAUAAUUUCAGCUGAAGUUUUCAUGUACCUGGCCAUUAGCUAGGUGCUCGUGACAAUAGAAAUGAAAUGAUCUAACCCAAUAAUGCAAGCUCACAACCUAUGUCUUCAGCAAAAUAAUUUUUGUUGCAAGUUAUUGAUGUCUUCGCCAGAUCCCAUUCUUUGUUGCUAUCUAUUUUGAGGACAACAGCAAGAAAGUGCUGCUACUCUAGAUUUGAUGGUGACCACCCCUUUGUUCUAAUUUAGGACAAUGUAAGAUUGAUUGAUUUUAGGUUAAUUCCUCUCCACUGUUGUAGUUGUUUGGAAACCAACGAGAGAUUGCUGGAAUUGAAGACUGAUAAUAUGUGUAGGUGUAGAUAAUUUACGAGUGCAUAUUUGGGCUCCCACCUUUUCUGUGGACUCCCUAACUAUCUAUUAACCAACGCCCGCCGGUGUGCAGUCAUCCGCUGUGAUAACCAACUGUAGGGGAAGGUGCUGGUCGAACGGUGAAUUGGAAGGGUGCAUGAUUUGAUGGAAGUUUUUGGAGGGUUUUAAUUAUAAAGCUUAGCAGAUUAUAUUUCCCCAGUGAAAUUGGCCUUGUAACUGGCCACAGGCCAGGUAUUUUACUUGGUAGUAGUCAGGCAAUGUAGUAUUACAUUUGUCUUGAUUAAUUGCAUGAGGUGUAGUGUUAAUUGGUUGGUGAUAGUGUUUUUAUUUUGCAAUAACUUAUUCUUAUACAAUUUUAUAAUAAUCAUUAGAUUCUGCAAUUAUUCAUGAUAUUUACUAACAUACUAAUAGUAAGUUAGUAAAGUACAUGGUAUGUUCCUAUGUUCUUUAAUAUUAAUUCAUUCAAGCUUAUCUAAAACUAACCACCCUCAAUC